ACCAUGCAAGCAAGCAUAGCAAACAAGCCACGAGCUAACUCGGGUUACGGGAGGUCUGAAAUACCAAUCGGUACCAUCCUCCCCUUGUAGAGAAGUGGUGAUUGGGUUAGAAAGGAUUUGGGCGUUACUCGUCGCUGUUAAAUUCACAAUUUACUUUUCAUUAUGAGUAUUCAACGGAAAAACAUAGCGACACAUCACUCUCAGGGAACCGGACUGGAUUUGCAACACAUGGCUUCUUCACACCAUCAAAACGACUUGUCCACCGGUUUCCACCCGCAGUUCAAAUCUUUCGCAACAGAGGCGAUCCACGUUGGGCAAGAACCGGAGCAAUGGAAAUCUAUGGCCGUGGUACCACCUAUUUCUCUGUCCACCACGUUCAAGCAGUAUAGACCUGGAGAUCAUGCUGGUUUUGAGUACAGUCGGAGUGGAAACCCGACCAGAAACUGCCUGGAGAAAGCUGUUGCUGCUCUGGAUGGAGCGAAACACUGUCUUGCUCUCGCCUCUGGGCUGGCUGCGACUAUGACCAUCUCUCACAUGCUGAAAGCUGGAGAUGGCAUUGUCUGCAUGAACGAUGUGUAUGGAGGUACCAAUCGUUAUUUCCGAAAGAUUGCUGCAGAAGUUGGCUUGGUUGUGUCCUUUGCUGAUUGCACCAAAAUCGAUUUGCUCCAGGCUGCUCUUAAGCCAAACACAAAAUUGGUAUGGAUCGAGACCCCCACCAACCCCACCAUGAAAGUGGUGGAUAUCCAGGCCUGUGCAGAUGUGGUCCACCAACACAACCCUAAUACCGUGGUGGUUGUGGACAACACUUUCAUGUCAGCCUACUUCCAGCGCCCCCUGGCCCUCGGCGCGGACAUAUGCAUGUAUUCCGCUACUAAGUACAUGAAUGGUCACAGUGACGUUGUAAUGGGCCUGGUGUCUGUGAACCGGGAGGACCUGUAUGACCGACUGAGGUUUCUACAGAACGCCCUCGGAGCGGUGCCGUCCCCCUUUGACUGCUACCUGUGUAACCGCGGCCUGAAAACCCUGCACCUGCGCAUGAGGCAGCACUUCAAGAACGCCCUGGCAGCGGCCAAGUUCCUGGAGGCCGACCCCAGGGUGGACCGAGUCAUCUUCCCAGGCUUGCCCUCCCACCCCCAGCACGAGCUGAUGAAGAAACAGUGCACAGGCUGCCCAGGGAUGAUCACCUUCUACAUAAAGGGAAAACUGGAGAACGCCACCAUGUUCCUCAGCAACUUAAAGUUAUUUGCACUUGCCGAGAGCCUCGGUGGUUAUGAAAGCUUGGCAGAGCAUCCGUAAGUAUACACAUAUCAUCAAUAAACAUUAACAUUAAACUGCUACAAUAUUACUAUUCCACUAGUCUUGUUAAUUACAAUGUUUCAGCUGAACCAAUUAAUAUGCUGUAAAUGCAAAAUAAAGAGAUGUUUAAUGGAAACAUCACGGUGCCCAAAGAAUAUCAAUGCAAGAAAGGGAAUAAAUAAAAGGUGAAAACAAACGUUGUGGCCUCACGCCAUCAGUGUAAAUUGUUGGUGCACACACCUGCUUAGAUUGCAUCCUACCUGGCAGGCCACUCCUGCCUGGUGACGUGGAGAAGAUCUGUGUCUGCACCACGUACACUCAUUACUGGUGUCCCCCAGGGCUUGGUUCUAGUCCCUCUUCUCUCGAUAAACCAAGUCACACAGGAGACCAUGUGAGGAUUUGACUGAGCUAUCAUUGCUAUACAGAUGACACUCAAACAUUCAACCUCCAGCUGCGUACCCCCUCAGGGUCAGCGCACUCUAAAAUGUUGUCUUUUGACAUCAUUGUAAGCCUGCCACACACUACAUUUUAUUAAAACAAGAAUGGGUGAGUUGUCACAACCCAGCUUGUGGGAAGUGACAAAGCUCUUACAGGACCAGGGCACGAAAAAUAUCAUAUAAAAUUAUUUUGCCAUCUUACAUAUCAAACCGUAUUUGUGAAUAACUCCCCACAGGUUAAGCCCAGUCCAAGCUCUUCUGACACCCCAAUAGUGGAACCAGCUGUCUCCCCCCCCACCCCAGGACAGCAGAGGCCUUACCCAUCUUCUGAAAACAUCAAACCCUACCUCUUCAAAAAGUAUCUUAAAUAAUCCCCCUUCUAGCCCUCUCUACUGAUGAUAGCUACAAUAUUGAUGAAUAAUGUACUUUCUAUGCCUGUGUAAUGUGGUUGUCCCACCUGGCACUCUUAAGAUGAAUUUCCAAAGUCGAUCUGGAUAAGAGUCUCCUAAAUGAUGUAAAUGUAUUUGGCAUUCAAGCCUCAGUUUUGUAUCUACACCCUUUGACAGUGUGCAGGUCUCCUUCCAGUAUUCUUAUUUUGACUCCUAUGCACCUGGAACAGACAUUCCAGUAGUGAGGACCUUUUUAAAAGAGCGCCGACGGCCUCUGAUCAUACCUGUUCAAUAGUCAUGAUAAAAUGUUUAAGUGCUUUCAAGAUGCUCUAAUUGAGGCACAACAUUACACACCCCUGCAUAACUUGGCCUUUAAUCAGAAAUGUACUUUUUUUUUUGGUUUGAAUAGUUAGCUAUUUAUUACCCUCUUCGUU